UACGUAGGGUGCGAGCGUUGUCCGGAAUUACUGGGCGUAAAGAGCUCGUAGGUGGUUUGUCGCGUUGUUCGUGAAAACCGGGGGCUUAACCCUCGGCGUGCGGGCGAUACGGGCAGACUUGAGUACUGCAGGGGAGACUGGAAUUCCUGGUGUAGCGGUGGAAUGCGCAGAUAUCAGGAGGAACACCGGUGGCGAAGGCGGGUCUCUGGGCAGUAACUGACACUGAGGCACGAAGGCCAGGGGAGCAAACGGG
rnacentral:rRNA from 1 species